UAAACGACUCUCGGCAACGGAUAUCUCGGCUCUCGCAUCGAUGAAGAACGUAGCGAAAUGCGAUACUUGGUGUGAAUUGCAGAAUCCCGUGAACCAUCGAGUCUUUGAACGCAAGUUGCGCCCGAAGCCUUCGGGCUAAGGGCACGUCUGCCUGGGCGUCAUGC
rnacentral:rRNA from 1 species